rnacentral:rRNA from 1 species
GACGAACGCUGGCGGCGUGCUUAACACAUGCAAGUCGAACGGAAAGGCCCUGCUUUUGUGGGGUGCUCGAGUGGCGAACGGGUGAGUAACACGUGAGUAACCUGCCCUUGACUUUGGGAUAACUUCAGGAAACUGGGGCUAAUACCGGAUAGGAGCUCCUGCUGCAUGGUGGGGGUUGGAAAGUUUCGGCGGGUGGGGAUGGACUCGCGGCUUAUCAGCUUGUUGGUGGGGUAGUGGCUUACCAAGGCUUUGACGGGUAGCCGGCCUGAGAGGGUGACCGGCCACAUUGGGACUGAGAUACGGCACAGACUCCUACGGGAGGCAGCAGUGGGGAAUAUUGCACAAUGGGCGGAAGCCUGAUGCAGCAACGCCGCGUGCGGGAUGACGGCCUUCGGGUUGUAAACCGCUUUCGCCUGUGACGAAGCGUGAGUGACGGUAAUGGGUAAAGAAGCACCGGCUAACUACGUG